rnacentral:rRNA from 1 species
UACGGAGGGGGCUAGCGUUGUUCGGAAUUACUGGGCGUAAAGCGCGCGUAGGCGGCUUUGCAAGUCAGAGGUGAAAGCCUGGAGCUCAACUCCAGAACUGCCUUUGAAACUGCAUCGCUUGAAUCAUGGAGAGGUUAGUGGAAUUCCGAGUGUAGAGGUGAAAUUCGUAGAUAUUCGGAAGAACACCAGUGGCGAAGGCGACUAACUGGACAUGUAUUGACGCUGAGGUGCGAAAGCGUGGGGAGCAAACAGGG